UAAUACGGAGGGUGCAAGCGUUAAUCGGAAUUACUGGGCGUAAAGGGUGUGUAGGUGGUUGUUUAAGUUAGCUGUGAAAGACCUGGGCUCAACCUGGGGGUGUCAGCUAAAACUGAAUGACUCGAGUAUGGGAGAGGGUAGUGGAAUUUCCGGUGUAGCGGUGAAAUGCGUAGAGAUCGGAAGGAACACCAGUGGCGAAGGCGGCUACCUGGCCUAAUACUGACACUGAGGCACGAAAGCGUGGGGAGCAAACAGG
rnacentral:rRNA from 1 species